UACGGAGGAUGCAAGCGUUAUCCGGAAUGAUUGGGCGUAAAGGGUCCGCAGGUGGCAGUGUAAGUCUGCUGUCAAAGAAUGAGGCUUAACCUCAUCAAGGCAGUGGAAACUACACAGCUAGAGUACGGUCGGGGUAGAAGGAAUUCCUGGUGUAGCGGUGAAAUGCGUAGAGAUCAGGAAGAACACCGGUGGCGAAAGCGUUCUGCUAGACCUGUACUGACACUGAGGGACGAAAGCGUGGGGAGCGAACAGG
rnacentral:rRNA from 1 species